AUUGAACGCUGGCGGCAGGCCUAACACAUGCAAGUCGAGCGGAGCGGCGGACGGGUGAGUAAUGCCUAGGAAUCUGCCUGGUAGUGGGGGAUCACGUCCGGAAACGGGCGCUAAUACCGCAUACUAUCAGAUGAGCCUAGGUCGGAUUAGCUAGUUGGUGGGGUAAAGGCCUACCAAGGCGACGAUCCGUAACUGGUCUGAGAGGAUGAUCAGUCCCACUGGAACGGAGACACGGCCCAGAUUCGUACGGGAGGCAGCAGUGGGGAAUAUUGGACAAUGGGCGAAAGAAUGUUCGAGCAAUGCCGCGUGUGUGAAGAAGGUCUUCGGAGUGUAAAGCAAUUUAAGUUGGGAGGCGUUACCAACAGAAUAAGCAACGGCUAACUUCGUGCCAGCCGCCGCGGUAAUUC
rnacentral:rRNA from 1 species